AGUAACACGUGGAUAACCUACCUAUAAGACUGGGAUAACUUCGGGAAACCGGAGCUAAUACCGGAUAAUAUUUUGAACCGCAUGGUUCAAAAGUGAAAGACGGUCUUGCUGUCACUUAUAGAUGGAUCCGCGCUGCACUAGCUAGUUGGUAAGGUAACGGCUUACCAAGGCAACGAUGCAUAGCCGACCUGAGAGGGUGAUCGGCCACACUGGAACUGAGACACGGUCCAG
rnacentral:rRNA from 1 species